UAAGGUUUCUAGCAGUUUACCUUCUGUUAAGUGUACUUACGACUGAGUGAAUUAAGCCAAGCUACUCUGUGCAUAGGAAAGUAGGAGGAGACUCACAAGAAAAGGACUUCUAGGACAAACACAGGCAUUUGAAAUCUUUCAGAUUAAUAUUAAAAUGGAUUAAGGAAACGUUCUCUUCAGAUAUCUGUGAUAUACAGAGAUGUCAUCAAAUAUUCACUUGUAAACUGAAGGGUUGAACUUCUCUCUCUACCUAAACCGUCUGAAAUUCAAACACUCGCAUUUAUGCCAACAGUUCCUUCUUAAGAUGGGUCGAUGGGCCGUUCAAAGGAUCACCACAGACAUUUGAAUUCCAAACUGGAAAGACCAUUGUGAUUCCUGUUGUCGCUUCCCACUCUCAUCUGAGGAAGCUUCAAGCCUGCCAUCUAACAACCUCACUGGCGGCACUGGUAGACACUGAGUUUGUAAUUUGCUCUAACAAAAUGCUGUAUAUACAUUCCAGAUUGCCACAAAAAUAUUCCAGGAUUUCUAACUGAUAUGAACACUGAAAUUGAUUUAAAGAAUCCCUCUCUUUCCUUUAGUGAUUGGCUAAACUCCUGGACUGGAGGAUUUUUGUCAACUACCCAAGGACUUUUCUUGGGGCUUUUCUCUUGUUAUUCUAAUUAUGUUUUGCUGCUUUCUCCCAUGCCUCUCUGCCUGGUGCCAAGACUCCAUCACUACAAUCACAUCAAGCCAAGAGAUGAGCCUUGCUACUCAAGAAGGCACACCUUGGAUUCAGCUGCCACCACCUUUUGUAUCUCCUCUAUAUAUUCCCCAACAGACCAAUAUUGGCCAAAUAGGUAGGGACAACUCUAUGCCCCUAGUCAGCAGAAAGAAGCUACAAAAGAUGAAACCUUCCAUCUUCAUCAACCUUAAAGAUGCAAGGGUCGACCUUGUUCAGGGGGGAUAUGAUGAGGGAGCAUGAGGCAGGCUGAGGGGUAAAGCCCAAGCUAGCCCCCCACCCCCACCCCAGGUGGGAUCUGAGUGUUAUUCCUUGGACAUUCUUGACUACCCCAGAUCAAAGAAAAGGGGCUUAAGCCCUUGCCAUGGUAAUGUGGGAAACUAAGGCAAAUGAAACAUUAAAUUCCCUUACUGUUUAUAGCCCAUUGACAAGUCCCUGGAAUGGGCAGAGUGACCUCCCUCUAACUGCUCAGCUGCCUCAAUGAUGACACUUUGCUAGGGGCAAAAGAGAGCCUUAGCUUAACAUUAUCCCAACCUCGAGGACCGUGUAAGUCAACUUCUUUUAUUGCAACUGACCCAAGAUAUAUGCUGGCAAUCAUACUCCAAGCUGAUCCCCACCCCCAAUAUACAUCUUAUGGAUCUCUUGACUGAAGUUUUAGUAAAUGGUAAUAAAUGGUGUGUCCCUAGCAACAGCUAGCCCCUCAUGGUCCUGAAAACCUUGCUUCCAACAUUCUUUAGCGACUUCAUCCCUGACUCCCUGCCAACCUGAUGGUAUAUAAUGAUGAGUUCCCCGUUAGGACCCCAGUGAAGCUCUUCCUGCACAUGGGUCCUGUCCCCAUGAUUUAAUAAAACCACCCUUUGUGCACCAAAGAUGUCUUUGAGAAAUCUUUCUUGGUCAUCGGCUCUGGACC